rnacentral:rRNA from 1 species
AUUGAACGCUGGCGGCAGGCCUAACACAUGCAAGUCGAGCGGAUGAAGGGAGCUUGCUCCUGGAUUCAGCGGCGGACGGGUGAGUAAUGCCUAGGAAUCUGCCUGGUAGUGGGGGAUAACGUCCGGAAACGGGCGCUAAUACCGCGUACGUCCUGAGGGAGAAAGUGGGGGAUCUUCGGACCUCACGCUAUCAGAUGAGCCUAGGUCGGAUUAGCUAGUUGGUGGGGUAAAGGCCUACCAAGGCGACGAUCCGUAACUGGUCUGAGAGGAUGAUCAGUCACACUGGAACUGAGACACGGUCCAGACUCCUACGGGAGGCGGCAGUGGGGAAUAUUGGACAAUGGGCGAAAGCCUGAUCCAGCCAUGCCGCGUGUGUGAAGAAGGUCUUCGGAUUGUAAAGCACUUUAAGUUGGGAGGAAGGGCAGUAAGUUAAUACCUUGCUGUUUUGACGUUACCAACAGAAUAAGCACCGGCUAACUUCGUG